rnacentral:rRNA from 1 species
GAUGAACGCUAGCUACAGGCUUAACACAUGCAAGUCGAGCGACGGGCGCAUGGGUGAGUCACACGUAUCCAACCUGCACUUUACUCGGUGAUAGCCUUUCGAAAGAAAGAUUAAUACCCGAUAUAAAGGAUGGGGAUGCGUUCCUUUAGGUUGUUGGUGAGGUAACGGCCCACCAAGCCUUCUAUGGAUAGGGGUUCUGAGAGGAAGGUACACCGCAAUGGAACUGAGACACGGUCCAAACUGCGACGGGAGGCAGCAGUGUGGAAGAGUAGGCAAUGGGCGGUAGCCUGAACCAGCCGAGUAACGUGAAGGAUGAAGGCUUAGGGGUCGUAAACUUCUUUUAUAUAAGAAUAUGUAUUAUAUGAAUAAGGAUCGGCUAACUCCGUGCCAGCAGACGCGGUAAUUC